rnacentral:rRNA from 1 species
UACGGAGGAGGCAAGCGUUAUCCGGAAUUAUUGGGCGUAAAGCGUCCGCAGGUGGCACUUCAAGUCUGUCGUCAAAGACUGGGGCUUAACCCCGGAAAGGCGGUGGAAACUGAAGCGCUAGAGUGCAGAAGGGGCAAUCGGAAUUCUUGGUGUAGCGGUGAAAUGCGUAGAUAUCAAGAGGAACACCUGAGGUGAAGACGGGUUGCUGGGCUGACACUGACGCUGAGGCGCGAAAGCCAGGGGAGCAAACGGG